UACGUAGGGCGCAAGCGUUAUCCGGAAUUAUUGGGCGUAAAGAGCUCGUAGGCGGUUUGUCGCGUCUGCCGUGAAAGUCCGGGGCUCAACUCCGGAUCUGCGGUGGGUACGGGCAGACUAGAGUGAUGUAGGGGAGACUGGAAUUCCUGGUGUAGCGGUGAAAUGCGCAGAUAUCAGGAGGAACACCGGUGGCGAAGGCGGGUCUCUGGGCAGUAACUGACGCUGAGGCACGAAAGCGUGGGGAGGCAAACAGG
rnacentral:rRNA from 1 species